rnacentral:rRNA from 1 species
UACGUAGGGUGCGAGCGUUGUCCGGAAUUAUUGGGCGUAAAGGGCUCGUAGGCGGUUUGUCGCGUCGGGAGUGAAAACCUCGGGCUUAACUCGGGGCUUGCUUUCGAUACGGGCAGACUGGAGGUAUGCAGGGGAGAACGGAAUUCCUGGUGUAGCGGUGAAAUGCGCAGAUAUCAGGAGGAACACCGGUGGCGAAGGCGGUUCUCUGGGCAUGACCUGACGCUGAGGCGCGAAAGCGUGGGGAGCAAACAGG